rnacentral:rRNA from 1 species
GCGAGGGAUGGGCCCGCGGCCUGUUAGCUGGUUGGCGGGGCAGCGGCCACCAAGGCGUGAUGGGUAGCCGGGUUGAGAGACCGACCGGCCAGAUUGGGACUGAGACACGGCCCAGACUCCUACGGGAAGCAGCAGUGGGGAAUCUUGCACAAUGGGCGGAAGCCUGAUGCAGCGACGCCGCGUGCGGGACGAAGGCCUUCGGGCUGUAAACCGCUUUCAGCAGGGACGCGGUACCUGCAGAAGAAGCCCCGGCUAACUACGUGCCAGCAGCCGCGGUAAUACGUAGGGGGCAAGCGUUAUCCGGAUUCAUUGGGCGUAAAGCGCGCGUAGGCGGCCAGCCUGGUCGAGAGUCAAUCCGGGGGCUCAACCCCCGUCCGCUCCCGAUACCGGCCGGCUUGAGUCUGGCAGGGGAAGGCGGAAUUCCCGGUGUAGCGGUGGAAUGCGCAGAUAUCGGGAAGAACACCGGUGGCGAAGGCGGCCUUCUGGGCCAGACUGACGCUGAGGCGCGAAAGCUAGGGGAGCGAACAGGAUUAGAUACCCUGGUAGUCCUAGCCGUAAACGAUGGGCACUAGGUGUGGGG